rnacentral:rRNA from 1 species
CGGGGUGAGUGGCAGACGGGUGAGUAACACGUGGAAUCACCCUUGCUACGGAACAACUCCGGGAAACUGGGAGCCUAAUACCCGGUAUGUGGCCCCUUUCGGGGGGGAAAAGAUUUUAUCGCCGAAGGAUCGGCCCGCGUCUGAUUAGCUAGUUGGUGAGGUUAACGGGCUCACCAAGGCGACGAUCAGUAGCUGGUCUGAGAGGAUGAUCAGCCACAUUGGGACUGAGACACGGCCCAAACUCCUACGGGAGGCAGCAGUGGGGAACAUUGGACAAUGGGCGCAAGCCUGAUCCAGCCAUGCCGCGUGAGUGAUGAAGGCCCUAGGGUUGUAAAGCUCUUUUGUGCGGGAAGAUAAUGACGGUACCGCAAGAAUAAGCCCCGGCUAACUUCGUG